UACGAAGGGUGCAAGCGUUACUCGGAAUUACUGGGCGUAAAGCGUGCGUAGGUGGUUUGUUAAGUCUGAUGUGAAAGCCCUGGGCUCAACCUGGGAAUUGCAUUGGAUACUGGCAGGCUAGAGUGCGGUAGAGGGUAGUGGAAUUCCCGGUGUAGCAGUGAAAUGCGUAGAGAUCGGGAGGAACACCAGUGGCGAAGGCGACUUCCUGGACCGUUACUGACACUGAGGCACGAAAGCGUGGGGAGCGAACAGG
rnacentral:rRNA from 1 species